rnacentral:tRNA from 1 species
GCCCGUCUAGCUCAAUUGGCCAGAGCACGGCUUUCGUACAGCCGGGGUUCCGCGUUCGAAUCGCGGGACGGGCUCCA